ensembl:lncRNA
AACAAAGUAGGAGAGCAUGAAAUUCGGCUAAUUAGAAUGAGCUGCACAUUACUUCACAGAGACAUUGUCACGUGAUUCUACGAUUCUUUGCCUUGCAUUGGGAACCAGACAGAGGCUGAGCACUCUGAGAGGACAUAUGUAAGCAUUCAUCAGUGACACAAGUAGUCCUUGGAUCCUACUGGCAGGGACUCAUCUUUGUCAACAACUUGAUACUGGAAAGGCUUGAGUCUUCCUGGGGUCCUGAAGCAACAGGUUCAGAGUACCUGCCGUAUCUAGCCUCACAGCCCUUGAAGGAUGGAAAGUAAAAGCAAUCUCAACCUCUUCUGAGCUAACUUCAUCAACUGACAAGUUUCAGCAUAUACCAGUCUUUGUUCUUCUGUAACUGCCAUGGUAUGAGUACAGCACCUGGGAAGAGAUAGGGCUGCUGGCACCUACCUCGCGCGACAUCAGGAGAUGAGACUUCACUGAAGAGGAUAUCUGCUGUCUGCGAUGUACUGGGCAUGUGGCUGCUGUUGCGCUUCAAACCUCCAAUUUUAAAUAAACACGAAGUCUCCAGUGUUCAAUUAAGCUAUUCAGAUACCGAUCAAGAAACAAUCCAAGAGCACUUAAAGAGCUCCAUGUAUAACACUGAUUGCUUACUGGUGCUGAUAAUGCCAUGUGGAACCAGAGCUAUUUGGCAUGGCUGAAAAUCAAAUCCACAUUAUUGAUUACCCUCAGACUCUUUAGCAGACCUGCACCCUCAUGGCCUCUUUGCAUACGUUUUUUUUUUUUUUUUUUUUUUUUGACAUUUAACAGGCACGAGAGUUGAAGAAAGACAGACAGGAAACAGCAAAAUAAAACUGUGAAAUGCAUCUAGUCUCACAUGUUAAAAAAUAAAUAUUUU